rnacentral:rRNA from 15 species
GCUUACGGCCAUACCACCCUGAACGCGCCCGAUCUCGUCCGAUCUCGGAAGCUAAGCAGGGUCCGGCCUGGUUAGUACUUGGAUGGGAGACCGCCUGGGAAUACCAGGUGCUGUAAGCC